rnacentral:rRNA from 1 species
AGAACGAACGCUGGCGGCAGGCCUAACACAUGCAAGUCGAACGCUCGUAGCAAUACGAGAGUGGCAGACGGGUGAGUAACGCGUGGGAACCUUCCCAGUGGUACGGAAUAGCUCAGGGAAACUUGAGGUAAUACCGUAUACGCCCCUCGGGGGAAAGAUUUAUCGCCAUUGGAUGGGCCCGCGUAGGAUUAGCUAGUUGGUGAGGUAACGGCUCACCAAGGCGACGAUCCUUAGCUGGUCUGAGAGGAUGAUCAGCCACACUGGGACUGAGACACGGCCCAGACUCCUACGGGAGGCAGCAGUGGGGAAUAUUGGACAAUGGGCGCAAGCCUGAUCCAGCCAUGCGCGUGAGUGACGAAGGCCUUAGGGUGUAAAGCUCUUUUGGCGGGAAGAUAAUGACGGUACCGCAGAAUAAGCUACCGGCUAACUUCGUCGCCAGCAGCCGC